rnacentral:rRNA from 1 species
CCCGUGAAGAGGCGGGAAUGCAACAGUAAGACGAGAAGACCCUAUGGAGCUUUAAUUAACCGACCCAAAGAGACCCAUUAAUUUCCACCGGCCGGAACAUCCAACCUCUGUAUGGGCCGACACCGUAGGUGGGGGCGACCUCCGAGAACAGAACAACCUGCGAGUGAUGCAAAUCAAGACUAAGCAGUCGCGAGUCUUACUUCACUUAUGGAUCCAAAGUUGGAUCAACGGAACAGGUACCCA